AGUGAGCGCUGGCGGUAGGCCUAACACAUGCAAGUCGAACGGCAGCACAGUAAGAGCUUGCUCUUACGGGUGGCGAGUGGCGGACGGGUGAGGAAUACAUCGGAAUCUACUUUUUCGUGGGGGAUAACGUAGGGAAACUUACGCUAAUACCGCAUACGACCUAAGGGUGAAAGCAGGGGAUCUUCGGACCUUGCGCGAUUGAAUGAGCCGAUGUCGGAUUAGCUAGUUGGCGGGGUAAAGGCCCACCAAGGCGACGAUCCGUAGCUGGUCUGAGAGGAUGAUCAGCCACACUGGAACUGAGACACGGUCCAGACUCCUACGGGAGGCAGCAGUGGGGAAUAUUGGACAAUGGGCGCAAGCCUGAUCCAGCCAUACCGCGUGGGUGAAGAAGGCCUUCGGGUUGUAAAGCCCUUUUGUUGGGAAAGAAAAGCAGCAGGUUAAUACCCCGCUGUUCUGACGGUACCCAAAGAAUAAGCACCGGCUAACUUCGUG
rnacentral:rRNA from 1 species